GAUGAACGCUGGCGGCGUGCCUAAUACAUGCAAGUCGAGCGAACAGACGAGGAGCUUGCUCCUCUGACGUUAGCGGCGGACGGGUGAGUAACACGUGGAUAACCUACCUAUAAGACUGGGAUAACUUCGGGAAACCGGAGCUAAUACCGGAUAAUAUAUUGAACCGCAUGGUUCAAUAGUGAAAGACGGUUUUGCUGUCACUUAUAGAUGGAUCCGCGCCGCAUUAGCUAGUUGGUAAGGUAACGGCUUACCAAGGCAACGAUGCGUAGCCGACCUGAGAGGGUGAUCGGCCACACUAGAACUGAGACACGGUCCAGACUCCUACGGGAGGCAGCAGUAGGGAAUCUGCCGCAAUGGGCGAAAGCCUGACGGAGCAACGCCGCGUGAGUGAUGAAGGUCUUCGGAUCGUAAAACUCUGUUAUUAGGGAAGAACAAAUGUGUAAGUAACUAUGCACGUCUUGACGGUACCUAAUCAGAAAGCCACGGCUAACUACGUG
rnacentral:rRNA from 1 species